rnacentral:rRNA from 1 species
CCCGGGCCUUGUACACACCGCCCGUCAAGCCAUGGAAGUCGAGGGCACCCGAAGUCCAUGACCCAACCCCUCGGGGAGGGAGCGGCCGAAGGUGAACUCGGUGACUGGGGCU